GCAUCUAUGGCUGAAUGGUUAAAGCUCCCAACUUAUAAUUGGAGAAUUCAUAGGUUCAAUUCCUACUUGAUGCA
rnacentral:tRNA from 1 species